rnacentral:lncRNA from 1 species
CACAAGCAGGCUCACAAACAUACAGACACUAAACAUUUAGCUGCCAGGAGAAGCACGAGACUUUAUUUUCCUGUGCAAACUGCUGGGAAACUCUGGCAGGGCCAGAGAAAGCCUCGGCGUCUGGAAGGGAAGGAUACUCACCUGGGCUGGAGCCUGGAGCCAGGGAAGAGGAUGGAGAGAGCGGCUGCCCUGGGUCUCACCUUCACCCUUCAGUCGGGGAUGACAAAGCCAUGGCCAGUCCCAGCAGAACCGGGGCUGGAAGCCCAGCUGUGCGCUGCGGGGAGAAGGAUCUCACAUCCCUCCUCCUCUCGUCACCGGGCUCGGGAAACUUUGCAGGGGUGUCAGGCGGGCAGUCCUCGGCAGAGCUCCGCGGGCUCCGGGCGAGCUCCGCCGCCUUCCCCCCACUUUCUUCCUCCCCCUCGGAGGCCGAUGCUGCUCUCCUUAGGCAGAUGUGUGUUCAGCCGCAGCAUCCCUGCCCCGCCGCAUCCUCUCCUGCCUCCUCCUCCUCCCGCCGAGCCCGCGGUGCCCGGGAGGCUCAGCCCACCGCCCACCGCUGUCCGGCACCGCUCAUCCUCGCCCCGCUGCUUUUCCUUCUUCCUUUUCUACUUCAAGGCUGCAGCUCCCGCCCCCUUCAGCUGACAGAGGUGCCCGGAGCAGAACAGCCCCUUUUUCCCCCAAGGAGAGGAAAAUCCCGGGAGCGCAUCUCCGCCGAGGGUCAGCCCCGGGGCGGGAGCGGAGCGCGGCGGCCGCGGGGAGCGGAGACAGCGCCGAGUGCCGAGGAACGGGAUGCGGGCUCGCCGAGGCUGCAGCGAGGCACGGAUCGCUCAAAGGAAGAAUACACAAAUACAUCUGACCUGGUUUUGGGUAGCACCACAAGAACCACAGAUGUACACGAGGCCCCAGACAUGAGGCAUCAAGUGAGCAAGGAACUGUCCUUCCAAGAGGAUUUAUGCUCUGCUAUUGGGAGUAUGCCUCAGGUGAAUUUGGAAACAUUCCCCAGGAUGGGAUCCAGGUGGCAUCACAAACCAGCACUGGAAUUUUGAUGAUGAAGGAAAAAAGAUGAUGGAUUCUGAGAGAAAGCAAUAACCAUUCUUGGGGCUGAGCCCUGCACACAGGGAAAGGCCAGCCAGCCGUGCCACUUUCUGACUGUGGAUGAUGGACCACAUGUAUCC